rnacentral:rRNA from 1 species
CCCUUAGAUGUUCUGGGCUGCACGCGCGCUACACUGAUGCAUCCAACAAGUUUUUUCCUUGUUCGAGAGGACUAGGUAAUCUUUUGAGAAUGCAUCGUGAUGGGGAUAGAUUAUUGCAAUUAUUAAUCUUCAGCGAGGAAUUCCUAGUAAACGCGAGUCAUCAGCUCGCAUUGAUUACGUCCCUGCCCUUUGUACACACCGCCCGUCGCACCUACCGAUUGAAUGUUUCGGUGAAGAUUCCGGAUAGGACUGAUUUGAUUUAUUUCAUUUCUGACCUAAAAGCUAUCUGAACCUCAACAUUUAGAGGAAGGUGAAGUCGUAACA